GACGAACGCUGGCGGCGUGCCUAAUACAUGCAAGUUGAGCGCUGAAGGUUGGUACUUGUACCAACUGGAUGAGCAGCGAACGGGUGAGUAACGCGUGGGGAAUCUGCCUUUGAGCGGGGGACAACAUUUGGAAACGAAUGCUAAUACCGCAUAAAAACUUUAAACACAAGUUUUAAGUUUGAAAGAUGCAAUUGCAUCACUCAAAGAUGAUCCCGCGUUGUAUUAGCUAGUUGGGGAGGUAAAGGCUCACCAAGGCGAUGAUACAUAGCCGACCUGAGAGGGUGAUCGGCCACAUUGGGACUGAGACACGGCCCAAACUCCUACGGGAGGGAGCAGUAGGGAAUCUUCGGGAAUGGAGCAAAGUCUGACCGAGCAACGCCGCGUGAGGGGAGAAGGUUUUCCGAUCGUAAAACUCUGUUGGUAGGGAAGAACGUUGGUGGGAGUGGAAAGCGCAUCAAGUGACGGUAACUACCCAGAAAGGGACGGCUAACUACGUG
rnacentral:rRNA from 1 species